UCUUGGACAAUGGGGGCAACCCUGAUCCAGCGAUGCCGCGUGAGUGAAGAAGGCCUUCGGGUCGUAAAGCUCUUUAGGUUGGGAAGAAGUUUGGUAGAGGCAAUGCUACUGAAUUGACGGUACCGACAGAAUAAGCACCGGCAAACUCUGUGCCAGCAGCCGCGGUAAUACAGAGGGUGCGAGCGUUAAUCGGAGUUACUGGGCGUAAAGGGCGCGUAGGCGGUGAUAUGAGUGUGAUGUGAAAGCCCCGGGCUUAACCUGGGAAGUGCAUCGCAAACGAUAUUACUGGAGUAUAUGAGAGGGUGGCGGAAUUUCCGGUGUAGCGGUGAAAUGCGUAGAGAUCGGAAGGAACGUCAAUGGCGAAGGCAGCCACCUGGCAUAAUACUGACGCUGAGGCGCGAAAGCGUGGGGAGCGAACAG
rnacentral:rRNA from 1 species